CAGCCGCCGCGGGAAUACGUAGGGUGCAAGCGUUAAUCGGAAUUACUGGGCGUAAAGCGUGCGUAGGCGGUUUGUUAAGUCUGUUGUGAAAUCCCCGGGCUCAACCUGGGAAUGGCAAUGGAUACUGGCAAGCUAGAGUGUGUCAGAGGAUGGUGGAAUUCCCGGUGUAGCGGUGAAAUGCGUAGAGAUCGGGAGGAACAUCAGUGGCGAAGGCGGCCAUCUGGGACAACACUGACGCUGAGGCACGAAAGCGUGGGGAGCAAACAGGAUUAGAUACCCCCGUAGUCCCUGUCUCUUAUAC
rnacentral:rRNA from 1 species